rnacentral:rRNA from 1 species
AUACAAUGGAGAGUUUGAUCCUGGCUCAGGAUGAACGCUAGCGGGAGGCCUAACACAUGCAAGCCGAGCGGUAUUUGUCUUUCGGGACAGAGAGAGCGGCGUACGGGUGCGGAACACGUGUGCAACCUGCCUUUAUCWGGGGGAUAGCCUUUCGAAAGGAAGAUUAAUACCCCAUAACAUAUUUGAUGGCAUCAUUAAAUAUUGAAAACUCCGGUGGAUAGAGAUGGGCACGCGCAAGAUUAGAUAGUUGGUGAGGUAACGGCUCACCAAGUCAGUGAUCUUUAGGGGGCCUGAGAGGGUGAUCCCCCACACUGGUACUGAGACACGGACCAGACUCCUACGGGAGGCAGCAGUGAGGAAUAUUGGACAA